ACAGUGGGGGGUUUGCGGCAGGGGUGGCUGGAACUCAUUGGGGCCAGCCGGCAACUAAAUGCCACGCUGAUCCCAGGAGAUAGCCAACUGAGGUUUUUUCACAGAAGUCUAUUUAGAAGCCUGCGACAGACUGCCCUGCCAGCGUCUCCACUUACCUCAGGCAAAGCACUGGUGGCUCCAUCAGAUCAGGUUUGGAAUCACACAUCAGUUGGAGGAUAAAGAUCCCCACUGUAGUUAGUGGCAGACACCUUCUGAAGACAAAUACAGCUACAGAGACGAUGCCUUGCCAGCCACUCUCGUCCCUGACGGCCGAUUAUCACACCACGUGAGCAGCUCAGGUUCCUCUGUGUAUCUGUUUCCUGAAUACCGUCUCCUUCUAUAAAACACUGGCAGGGUAUAGAAAAGGCUCAAAUCAACAUAAACAAGUGCAAUUUGACAUCCUUUACGUGGCUGAACGAGAACUUUGUAACGUAAGAGUCUGGAGUCGGCAGCUUGAAACGACAAUGGAAAUGCUUCCCCAUCUGCCAAGCAUCACCCGUGAGAGCCAACACUACAGACCCUCCGUAAAAUGCUGUGGAAAUGCACGUACCACAUAA